rnacentral:rRNA from 1 species
UCGGAACGUGCCCAAUCGUGGGGGAUAACGCAGCGAAAGCUGUGCUAAUACCGCAUACGAUCUACGGAUGAAAGCAGGGGACCCGCAAGGGCCUUGCGCGAGUGGAGCGGCCGAUGGCAGAUUAGGUAGUUGGUGGGGUAAAGGCUCACCAAGCCUGCGAUCUGUAGCUGGUCUGAGAGGACGACCAGCCACACUGGGACUGAGACACGGCCCAG